AUAUAUAUAUAUAUAUUCGCCUUCUCACUCGCACGAUCAUUCGCACCAUGAAACGCAUGAUUGCACGAGCGCCUUACGUCCAAUCGCAUUGGUGCACGUUCAAUCGUUCAAUCACCUGAUCACUCGCGCGAUCCUUUCGCAUUAACUUACAACACUCGCUUUCAUUGUACAACAGUCGCAUAUAGACGCAAGAUAUAUCGUAAGAUUUAAUACACAACGGUCGCUUUAGAUCGUGCGAAUUUCGUACGAAUACUUUUUCAUGUGGGAUUAUUUCAGCAUCAGUUUACGAUCCAACUUAAAGUUUUUCGGUUGCACGAAUAUUUUGUCGCCUUUGCUCGUGCGCCAAUUGUGAAAGGCCCCUAAAGAAUGAUAUUCCACUUGUUUUAAGAAAUCAAACCAUGCAAAAAUCAGGUUGAAAUACUCUUUAAUAGGAAAAAUUAAAUUUUCCGUCAUUUCAACUUUUAGUUUGUUUAAGUUUGGCAAAUCCUAUUUGACAAUGAAAGAGGAAGAAAUUUUUAUCCCCCCCCCCAAAAAAAAGAACAUUACGUUAAAUCAAAACAAAAAAAAAAUAAUAAAUGAAAAGCAGAAAAUUAAUAUAAAUAAAACUCUAUACCUUUUAAUAAUUCUGAAAGAGGCUCUAGAUAAAAUAUUGAAAUGAAGUUAAGCCUUCACACAAGCAUAUCAUAUCAUAAUUUACUUCGCCAUGAUUAAAGCAUAAUACUUUAAAUGUUGGUGGAGGUAUACUUGAAAGUAUUGUGGCAAGGUAGCAGUUAAAAAUUAGUAGAAAAGUAGAUAAUUUUUGGCAUAUUUUUAGUGCCCCUGGUCCUCUGUGUCAACAAACUGUGGGCCUGUAUAAUUAAGAGGCAUUUACAUUAAAAGUUUAAAACUAAAGUUUAAUUCCUUUUUUAUAGAAAAAUAAAGAUAGUGUUUUUUUUUUUUUUUUUUUUUUUUUUGCUUUUGUUUAAUAUAGACUUCCUUCUAAAUAAGAAAGGGGUGGGGUAAGUAUAAGACCUAAAAAUAUGCUCUGUAAACUAUGGGCUAGUGUAAAAUACAUAGUCAUUUUAAUGCAAAACCUAUACAUGUAGACAUAAACUUUUGAUUUAGCACACAGUAUUCAUUACAUUUCUUUUAACGUAGAACCUACUUCGUAUGACAUCAUAACUUGUAAAUGUGUUAAACCUGUGCUAACCCAUUAAGACGUAUUAAUUAAUUCAAUGCCACUUUUUCCCGUACUUGACAGCUUCAAUAAAAAUAGUAGAAAAUACUGCAUUUUGAAAUUCACAGAAUUCAAUCAUGCCAACAUAAUUUUGAUUCAAUUCAUCUUUUUUUUGUUUAUAAUGCUUAAUGGCAAUAUAUUUCUGGAAUAAGAGAAAAUAUGUAGGCACCUUUUAUUUGCUAGAUCUAGACCUGAAGUUGACAAACCCUAGACUAUCUAGUGUAAUGAAAUUACAAUGUACAUACAACUUUCGUAAUAAUUUGAAUGGUAUGUAACCAUUUUGAAGGAAUGCAUAAAUCGUAAGAAAUCUUUAGUUGCCAGCUAUAUAGUAUAAUAUCUUGAUGAAAUGUGUCUAGGUCAAAAAUGUACGUGUUGUAGAUCGUUUGUACAUUUUUGUGAUAUCUAUAAUGAAAUGAUGUGCAUUCCUUUUAACAAUUAUUUGUUACCUAUUCAUAUUUUUUGGUGUUUUAUUACAAUUUUUUUCUAUUAAAUAUGAUCUUUUUAAAGAAAAAGUACAAUUUCUGAUAAAUAUUUAAUCUGAAAGUAAUCCCAAACAGUCAUUUAAUUAUUAAAUCCCGUGUAAGUGCAAAAAGGUCAAGGAUAUGAGUAUCGGUAAAAAGCCUAUCUUUCAUUAGUUAGAGGGGAAAGGUAUAUAUUUCAAUCAUUUUUUGUAAUCAUUUGGCUAUGUUCUUCAUCAUAUUGAAGAUUGAAAACAUUGUGACAAAGACGUCUAAAGAAAUAUUUACAAAUAUAGGGUGAAUAAUUGACUAAAAACAAUAAAGUUCAUUUGACUAUUUUUUUUAAUGGUGGACUUAUCUUUUAUAAUAAUUGAAUAAAAAAGAAAUUAUUCUUGAUAAAAUAUUGUUUAAUAUUUUUCAGUUAAAAAAGUUUAUAAACGACGAUGUUUGAAGAAGUAUUUUUGUGAUUUUUCAUAUUCCCUUUAUGACAAGUUCCCCUAAAAUAUUUGAAAAUGUGAAGUCGCAAUAUGUAAAUACCUUACCAAGUUUCACAGCCUGUUCUAGAUUAAAAAACAAGGAAACAUAUCAUGAUAUCUUAACUGUUUGAUAAGCAUGUACUAAUUUAUCAUUUUGAAAAGUUUGAAAAUCUUGUGACAAAGACUUUUCCGACAUAGGUUCUACCUUAAUUCUUGUUUUACCCCACCCUUUUACUCAGUUCUGAGUAUAUUUUUCAGAGAAUUUAAUAUGAAAAUCAGAACAAACAUUUUCAUUUUUGUAACGUCAUCUUUACAUGUAUAACGUAUAUCAAUAUGAAAAGUUAAUUGAAGACCAUUUCUUUUUAUGUCUCGUAGUCGAAGAUUCGGGGGUAUAUAGUUUUAUCGUGUUCGUCUGUAUGUCCGUCUGUCUAUCUGGCGGUUUGUUUGUCCGCAAAAACCUUAACCUUUUCCAUAAUUUUUCAUUUAUUGGAGCUAUGACUUUCAUAUUUAAUAUGUAUAUUCCUUGUGACAAGACCUUACUUUGGGUACCAUCUUGACCUUUUGACCUUUACCUUGGAGUUUAUCCCAUUUUACACAAAAAUGCCGAAUUUUUACUUUGGCCAUAACUUUUAAACGGUAGAUACUUCAAAUAUGUAGUUUUUUGGCAUUACCUUUCAUUGGAUACUAAAAAACCUUGACCUUUUGACCUUGACCUUUGAGUUUUCCGUACUUAUGUUUUUUUUUACCUUGGCCAUAACUUUUGAACGGUAAUGGCUAGGGUAUUCAUACUUCACAUAUGUAAUCCUUGUUACAUUAAACAUUUUCUUAAGAAAUCAUCAACUUUGACCUUUGAGUUUGACCUACCUUUCAAAAACUUAUCCUUAGCCAUUACUUUUGAACAAGUGGUGCUAGGGCUUUCCUAUUUUGCAGUUGUAUUUCAUGUGAGAAGACCCUACUUUGGGUAACAAUAUUAUUUAAAUUGCAUUUAAGAAAAGUUUAAUCUUCGCUAUGUUGCCAUACAGGGGCAUAGCUGUUUCACAAAUACAUCUUUUUAUGUAUGAGGAUUUGCGGAUAAGAGAUGGAUACCUCAAAGCGUAACAGACGGACGGACGAACAUCUCAAUCACUAUAUACCCUCUCGCUUUUCAAGCGGAGGAUAUAAUAAUAUAUAAUACUGCUGAUUUUUUCUGUCAGUUCGAUGAUUUCCACCAUCAAAAUUGUUUGCCUAACCCUUAAGGCUUGAUAAAUCUUUUACUCCUUUAGAUUCUAAAUCAUUGCAUUUACCUUAAAAUAUAGCUAUAAUUGUAUAAUGUUAUGAGAUCAACAUAUCAUCAGUUUAUUCCCAAUAAGAUCAGGUGAGCAUUUUGGCCAAUAUGCUUCUUUAUCCAAUUUUUUUUUUGCCCCCUAAAAAUUUUAGCUUUAAUCUGCAGGGGGUCAUUUUUCUACGGGGGUCAUUUUUCUUCACGUGGGUUCUGCAAAUUUUUAGGGAAGUGACACUUUUUCUACGGGUAAAAGGGUCAUUUUUCUACGUCGAAUAAUGACCGGGGGUCAUUUUUCGCUGUCGAAAAAUGACCCCCCGGUCAUUAUUCGAUGGGGGUCAUUAUUCGUCUUUAAAGCCUGCAGCAGGAGAAGUGACCGUGAGUGAUGAUAUCGAGAGAAUAAGGUUAAUGAAUUUGGGACGUGAACAUUGGUCCUUUGGUUGAGACCAUCUAAACCAAGGUCCUUUGUUGCAGUAGUUGUUGGCAUAAAAAAUAAUCCCUUACUGCUCAAUGAACUUGACUGCCGAGCAUAGGUCCAUAUCUGCAGCUUUGCAGUCUUUUUCUACUUAAAAAUGAAAAUCUAUAUCAAGAAAUAUUACUUAUCUCCUAUGUCUUUUGUGCUAUUUCGGUUUUAAGCGAGAUAUUACAUGUUAAAUGUCGACGAAAUAACCCCUCCCCCUUCACACACAGAUGCACUUCUACCAUGAUCAAAGCGUGACCGAAAACAGAAGGAGAAAUGUAGUAAAGUAUUCAUCAGCGCAGUAUGAUCGCGGUAGGGUCUUUUUAUAAACAUGUUAAAAUUAUGGCUUGAUUGGGAUGAUCGUCGUAAAAUUGCAGCUCUGUAUGAACAGGGGGGAUGUGAUCAGGUAUGGAACCAAUUAAAAAUCAAUACACGGAAUGUCAAUCUGUAUAGUGACGGUAUAUUGAAGUAUUGCAGGAGUUAAUAAUUAAAAAUGCUAAUCCAUCCAUUUUUAUACAACUACUGUCAUUUGAUCACUUUUUUUGUUACAUGUAUGUAAUUUCAAGCAGCAUCUACAACAAAUGGUCUCCUUUCAAGCAUGUUCCUGUUUGCGUGCAUUAUGUUAAGCUCACCUCCUUGAAGUUGGGGAAGCUUAUGUAAUACCGUCGGUGUCGGCGUCGGCGUCCCUGGUUAAACUUUUUGGAGCAGUUAUUUUUUCAGUAUUUCUAUGUCCUAUAUUGAUGAGACAUGCACGGAAGAUGGUUCUUGUGUGUUUCAUUUUACCAGUCAAUGGUUCAAAUGCUGCUAUUUCAGCAAAGGAAUGACCAGGGUAAUAUUUUUUUGGAGAAGUUUUAACAUUUUUUGAUGCAGUUUUUGGUGUAGGUUCAUUUCCAAGUAACUUUAAGCCCUAUGUUGACCAAACUUGAAUGAAUGAUACAUCUUAGGAUGCACACUACCAGGCUUGCUUCAGAUGCUGAAUCGGACCUACAUUUUCUGGAUGUUUGAACAGGUUAAUGUUUCUGGUGCUGAUCUCAUUUCCAAGAAUUAUAUGGAGAUAACGAGCAAUAUUCAAUCUCAAAGUCCACAAAACAAUACAAAAUAAGAGCAGAGAAAACACGGACCUCCGAAACAUCAGAGGUGGGAUCAGGUGCCAUGGAGAAGUGAGCAUCCCUGCUGAUCGGUCACGACUGCUGUGUGCUUAUUGUCAUGAUCAGGAAAUAAAGGAAAAUAGAAAGUCAAGUAUAUAAAUACAUUUUGUAUUGGACUAACAAUUAGUAUGAAAAACGUCAGUCAGCAUUUGACUCACUGAUAAAAGUAGCUUUGAGCCCUAUAAAGACCAAAUUAUUAUGGUUGAUGCAUCUAAGAAAGCAUACAACCAGGCUUGCUUCGGAUGCUGGAUUUGAAUUACAUUUUCCGGAUGAGUGAACAGGUUAAAAGUUUUGGUGCAGAUUUCAUUUCCAAGUUACUAUGAGCCCUAUAUUGUCUAACCUUGCAUUGAUGAUACAUCUAAGAAUGCAUACAACUGGGUUUGCUACGGAUGCUGAAUCUGACUUGCAUUCUCCGGUUGAGUGAACAGUUUAAAUUAUUGACCCAGGUUUCAUUUCAAUGUAACUCUGAGCCCUUUAAUGACCAAACCUGCAUGUAUGAUACACAUAAGGAUUCAUACUACCAGGCUUGUUUCGGAUGCUGAAUCUGACCUACAUUUUCUGGAUGAGUGAAAAGGUUAGUUUUUAUGCAGGUUUCAUCUCAAAGUAACUAUGAGUCCUAUGCUGAGCAAACUUGCAUGGAUGACAUAUCUAAAGAAGCAUACUAAUAGACGUGCUUCAGAUGCUAAAUUCGACAUACAUUUUACAGAUAAUGCAGGUAAAAUGUAUAGUUGCAGGUCCAUCACCAAGAAACUAGAACGCCUAGGUAUAUCGAUCAAAUUUGAACAAAGGACGCAUCAAGGAAUGAAAACUCUCAAACUUGCUUCAGAUGCUGGAUUUGAAUUACAUUUUCUUGAUUAGGUCUGUUUCAAAGUUACUGCAAGCCCUAUCAGAUAAAACUGUAUAAUAUUAAAUUUUGGAUGUACACGUUUUAGAAUGUUGGUUAAUAGCCUUAAAGAUAACAUUCGUUGAGGUGAUCAUUUAACGCUUUACAUAAGUUAGUUCUGACUUUUGUUAGAAAACAUUGAAUGGCAAAUACUGUCUUCUUCCACCUAUAAUGCGCUCCCUGUAGUCAUAAGUGACAAGAUUUUAUGUUUGUUGGUUGACAUUUUUUUGCAUAUUACUUUAUUUGUAUUUUAAGCCUUUGUAAAAAUUCAUGGUUGAUUGAAAUUUUACAUUUUCUUCCUCAUGUCUUAGUUUUGUUACGACAGGCCCAACCUGAUGUAAGCAUCAUUUUGAUGUUCAAACAUCAGAUUUCAUAUUAGGGAAAUUUAUAUAGUCAUGUAUUACAAUUGCAUUAAAAUAUUUGAUUGAUGAUCGUUAUCAUUUUUAGAAUCUUAAAGAGACUGAAAGUUUCCCAACUGUAUCGCAGUCCCCUCUGGAAAGGACUGACCAGAGAGAACAACAGCGUGGUGAGCCUUUCCGAAAGGAUCGAGAUGAUUCUUAUCCAUUGGUGCAUACCCAGAUCAUAGGGAAAUACGAAAUAGGAAAACGGGUAGGCCGCAUACAAUUUACUAAAGGUGGUGAUGUUUAUGGUGUGGGAACAGGAUUUAGAGUGGGCAGCAAGUACGUCAUGACAGCCUACCAUGUCAUGGGGAAUAAAUUGGAGAAACUUUGGAGCGAAGUACAUAAAUUGUUGACUGAAGAAGAAAGAAAAAUGAUAGAAUGGACUAAAGACAAAUUGCCGGUGACUGGAAGUUGGAAUAUAUCUAACCUCAUUCCAUCAUUAGACCAUAAGAGGAAAGGUUACUGUGCUUUUUGAUCUUUCUUUUUAGUCCCCUACCGGUGAAACCGGAGGGGACUAUAGGUUUCCUCUGCGUCCGUCCGUCCGUCCGUCUGUCCGUCCGUGUUUACGAGA